GCUCAGUUAGCUCAGUAGGUAGAGCAUGGGACUCUUAAUCCCAACGUUGUGGGUUCUAGCCCCACACUGGGCA